GACAGACAUAUAGCUCGCUCCGGCCAGUCAUGGUAUUAGCUGUCAGUAGCCAAAGAAUCGACAGGCCAGCAACAGGCAUGCAGGCAGACAGACAGAUACUUCACUAGCAGUGAGCACUUUCACUUCUGACAGCUAAUAGCAUGACAGUGCCAAUUUUCCCUUUGUGUGUGUGUAUAUAUAUAUUUACUCCUAGUAUCAACCGUCUGACAACUGGUUUGAAACCGAAUCUUUGUGUUCACUAUUGUCUUUCUUGAUGUUUGUGUGCGUGCGUGUGUGUGUAGAUAUGCCUUUUCUCUCUCUGUCGCUAUUUCCAGCUUCUAACCAUAGGCGUACUUGCUAGGCAAAUGGUUUGAUUCUGAAACCAUGUACUGAAAACUAAAACAAUUUCUGCGUGGAGGACAUAUUAGUCAUUGAAAGACACAGCAAAACUGUUAACUUAAACAUUCAUUACUUGGUUGAAGUUAACAGUUUUUCGUGUGUGUGUUAUUUUCUUUCUUUUUUGGCAAUGGCUAAUAGGUCUUCCACGCUAUAAUUGUUUCAUCAUGUUUAUACAUAAAUAUCCAGGGUAAAACAAAUCUUACCGGGGACUUUAUUUAAUAAGAUACCGGUUUCACUGUUCGGUGUUGACUGAAACAUGGAGAGGAAUCAACAAACUGCAAAUGAUUGUCUGCCACCUCAAAUUAAAUUGAAUAGUGAAGUUCUGGAAUACCUGAAGACAGAAUCUCUGAAUUUCCCCAAGUCUACUGAAAGUGACAGAGACAGAUGUGAGAAAGAAAUUUGUCAUUUACUCUCUCUUCUUCCAAUCCCGCCACUCUUUACUGUCGUACGUGUAAACACCCUCCAACAGGACCCCGAACCUCUACUCGCCCUCCUCAAAGAACAGUUGAUAGACAACCACCGAAAAAGGGCCGUGCAACUGGCCGAGCCUUUCUUCCACCCUCUCAUGCCCGAUGUUGUGAUAAUACCUAAUGCUGGGCCAGUUCAGUCGAUCGAGAGACGAGGAGACCAAGUAGUUGUUGACCACAUGUGUGGUAUGUCGGUUCUAAGGGGAUCUGAAGUGUUCGUUAAAGGGAUCAUUGGUGCUCCUUUGGAUAUGACUCGUGGGGAUAUUGUUUCGCUGUAUGUCGAUAUGGAAGGAUCUUGUCUUCGCGGACAAACACAGCCUUUGAAGGGGGAGAAAAUUUUUCUCGGGAACGGCGUUGCCCUGGUCAGUCGCAAUCAGAUCUUCCGCGACUCGUCGCCCGAUCAUGUAUUAUCAGGAGUUGGUGUAUCGGUAACGAAUGCUCUGUAUUCAGCUCCAAGACUUGACAAUUUAACCUCAGAUCUGAUAUUUGCCCAAAAUCUUCCCUCGGCCGUUUGUAGUUACGUGCUGAACCCUCGGCCAAACGAUACUGUCCUCGAUAUGUGUGCCGCUCCAGGAGGCAAAACCACUCAUAUUGCCACACUGAUGAGAAACAAAGGCCGCCUGGUGGCGAUAGAUCGCACUAAACCCAAAGCAGAGCGCCUAACCUCUUUAGUGUCUUGCUGGGGUCUAACAUGUGUUGAGGUUUAUGCAUUUGAUUCCACAAAAUCACUUCAAGGUUCAGCUGAAGCAACCAAAGGUCCCCCGUACCCUCCGGGAACCUUUGACCGGAUUCUGCUUGAUGCUCCGUGCAGUGCUCUCGGACAGAGACCGUCGUGUUGUAACAAAAUGUGUUUAUCGUUUCUGAAGUCUUUCCCCAUGUAUCAACGUAAACUACUUCGACAAGCCGUCGGACUGUUAAAAGUCGGUGGCACUUUGGUAUACAGUACUUGCACCAUAACUUUAGCAGAAAAUGAAGAACAAGUGGCCUGGGUUUUGGCUAGCUUCCCCCAGCUCGUCCUCACUGCACAGGAGCCUCAUAUUGGAGAUACUGGUUUAGUAGGUUCUUCCCUAUCACCAGAACAUCUGAAGUUAGUUCAACGGUUUAAACCAGAUGUUUCAGGUGAUAGCAAAGACGCCUUUAACAGAGACACAAUCGGGUUUUUUAUUGCCAAAUUCAUUAAAGUGGAAAAUGUCAAAUAAUCCGAGAAUUUAAUUGCUUGAACUAAUUAAUAUCAUCUUUAGAAAUGAAAUAUUUAAAAUAUAUAUAUUUACGUCUACAUUAAAACCUGUGAAGGUCGACAUUGCAUUUCAUCGUUCAGAUCCCAAUGAAGUAAAUGACCAGAGAUGCCUGGACGAUUCAGUCAUUCGGAUAUACCAGUGGUGUGAAACUUUUGUUCAUAUAUUUAAGUGACGCCACGUAUAAACUGCAAUAAGGAUGCAUUAAAGAAAACUUUAUUAAAAUAAACAGGGAAAGGUAAUUACUUGUCAAAAAUCCCAUGCCAGAAUGAAACCUGGACAUUAAAAGAUGAUGUUAUAUAUAUAUCAUCAUCAUCAUCGUUUAACGUCCGCUUUCCAUUCUAGCAUGGGUUGGACGAUUUGACUGAGGACUGGUGAACCAGAUGGCUACAUAUAUAUAUAUAUAUAUAAAAUGAAGGAGAGUAUAUUUUAGAUUAAAAAAAGAACUUUGUUUAUCUUAAUUUUGAAAGAUAAAAGAAGGAUUAAAAAAACUGCAUUAUUUAUGGGAUGACCCAAUGUGUGUGUGUGUGUGCACGCACAAUAAAUAGUUGAAGUUGAGUUGUAAUUCAAAGGGACCAUCGUGUCACUUAUUGUAUUAUGCUGAUUUUCCUUGAGAAAUACAUUAAGUGUAUAUGUAUCUGUGGAGUACUCAACCAUGUACCAAUUCAACAAACUUCUGUAUAUCAGACAUUUGGAACAAUCAUCAUCAAAACUGACGGAAAUCCCUUUUGUCCCCCUGUCAUCAAUACAUAAUACCAUUUGAUAAUCAUCAAAAAUAUAUUUUUUAAAGCAAAAAUCAAAAAUUUUUCCCCAAAAAAUCACACUUGCAGGUCUCAAAAGCUACAGGUGCCACAACCCCUGAACUAUACCUUUCUCUAAAAUGAAGGGCCGUAUGCCGUUAAACUAUACCCUUCACCAAAUGUAGGGUCUUUGUACCUCUAAAUACAUCUUUCACAAAAAUAUGCUGUUUUGUGUCCCUGAAUGAAAAUCAACAUUUACAACUACACUAAAAUCAGAAGAAUCAUUAAUUCAUCUCAGACAUUUAAUAAAUUAAUUCACCAAAUUAAAGAUGGUUUUUUUUUAUCUUUGUUGUGGGUUAGCUCACAUUACUCCAUAAGAAUCAUAAGGCUGGUUUCUUGGUUUCUCUGGCAUAUAUAUAUAUAUAUAUAUAUAUUCCUCACUGGAUGGGAUGCCAGUCUGUUGCAUAUCUUUUAUCAUAGAAAUCAUAAAUAACUUGAAGAAAAUUCUAGAAACUCUUUGGAGAAUGAACGGGUGUAUUUGAUAGUUUAGAUGUCAAAGUUGAAGAUCUUUGUUUUAUGACUUCACCAAAGAAAGAAAGGGAGUAACUUAUUUUCAAAGCAAGGACCCUGCAGAAGGCACCCUAAGAUCAGGCAAUGGAUUAAUUCUAUUCCCUCAACAACAGUUCAUCGGAUGGGUUUCCACUGUUCAUGUCUGCCAAAUCCAUCCUCAAAACUUUGGUCAACCUGAAGCUUUUGUAGAAGAUAUCUGACUCAGGUGCCAUGCAUCGGGUUGCACUGAAAACCACAUCAUGACAAAUCAAACUUCUUGACCAAAAAGUCAUACCAGCCACAACAGAAUUAAUACGACUUCAUUGGAUUCACCAAAAUACAGGCUGAAGUGGUGAUCGGCAGCUGUUUCUUUUAUUAUGUAAAUGCAAGAUGUCUGCAUGUGUGCCCCAGCAGGGAAUUUUGAGUGGCCUGAAGAAAAUGGGAAAAUUUUAUGUAAAAUGACUGGGUGUAUAAAAUGCGCUGACACUAAGAAAGGGGCAAGCAUUUUGUUAACCAUCAGCCAUUGAAAUGACUCAAAUGUUCACCGCAGAGUUUAACCUUUCAGCAUCCAGAUUACUCUCUCAAAGGUAAACCUACCCGAACCAAAGAUGGACAUGAUGUGCGGUCGUGUAAAGUGGCCGAUAAAUCCGGUUCGGUCAACGUGUCCGUGUGGGACGAAGCAGGCUGUUUGCUACAAACCGGAGACAUCUGUAAGCUGACGAAAGG